UCUCCAUCAUCCCCAUCCUCAUCCUCAUCCCCAUGGUCUCCACCCCCAUGGUCUCCAACCCCAUCUCCAUCAUCCCCGUUCUCCUCAUCCCCAUGGUCUCCACCUCCGUUUCCAUCAUCCUCCUCAUCCCCAUGGUCUCCAUCCCCAUGGUCUCCAUCCCCAUCCUCAUACUCAUGGUCCCCAUUUCCAUGGUCUCCAUCAUCCCCAUCCUCCUCAUCCCCAUGGUCUCCAUCCAUCCUCAUCCCCAUCCCCAUGGUCUCCAUCUCCAUUCCCCUCUCCAUCCCCAUCCCCACCAUCCCCACGGCCCCAUCUCCACCCCACUGCCUCCACCUCUUCUUCCAGGGCCUCCCAGGAGAGAGGGGUCUGGCCGGCCCCGAGGGGAAACCGGGCUUGCCAGGCUUCCCCGGCGUGCUGGGACGCCCGGGCAACCAGGGAGAGCCGGGACCACCAGGACCUCCGGGCACCGCUGGCCCCCCGGGGACCCAGGGCCCAGCUGGGAUGAAGGUAAAUCAUCAUCAUCAUCAUCAUCACCAUCAUCAUCACCAUCACCAUAUUUGACCCCGCAGAGGAACGUGCGGUGCCCUGCAGGCACCAGGGGCUGUGGGGAAAAACGUGGGGCUGGUCCCCUGCUGGAGCCAGCCCCUGGGGGGCUCAGGGGACAUGGGGACGUGGUGGGGACGUGGUGGCAGGGCUGUUGGGGUGGUGGGACCGACGCGGGUGCUGUCUCCACAGGGCGACCCCGGGGAGCCUGGUGCCAGCAUCCGGGUGAGCCUCCACUCCCCCCUACCCGGUCCCUGACCCCAAAUCCCUUCCCAGGGGACAGCUGACGUCCCGGCGAGAUGUCCCAGCGU
rnacentral:lncRNA from 1 species